GACGAACGCUGGCGGCGUGCUUAACACAUGCAAGUCGAACGCUGAAGCUCAGCUUUUGUUGGGUGGAUGAGUGGCGAACGGGUGAGUAACACGUGAGUAACCUGCCUCCUUCUUUGGGAUAACGCCAGGAAACGGGUGCUAAUACUGGAUAUUCACUGGUCUUCGCAUGGGGGUUGGUGGAAAGGGUUUUUCUUGUGGGGGAUGGGCGCGCGGCCUAGCGGCUUGUUGGUGGGGUGAUGGCCUACCAAGGCUUUGACGGGUAGCCGGCCUGCGAGGGGGACCGGGCAGAUUGGGACCGAGAUACGGCCCAGACUCAGACGGGAGGCAGCAGUGGGGAAGAUAGCACAAUGGGAGCAAGCCUGAUGCAGCGACGCCUCGUGGGGGAUGGCGGCCUGCGGGUUGUGAACCUCUGUGUCUCAUGGUCAAGCCGCAACAAUAGUUGUAGUGACGGUAGUGGGUAAAGAAGCGCCGGCUAACUACGUG
rnacentral:rRNA from 1 species